rnacentral:pre_miRNA from 1 species
UAGAUUUGUCCUAAGUCAAGCUUCUAUUAAGUUUGACCAAAUUUAUGUAAGAGUAUCAACAUCUACCAAAUCAAAGAAGUACACUAUGAAAAUGUUUUUCGUAAUGGAUAAAAUAAUACUAAUUUGAUAUCGUAAAUGUUGUUAUUCUUUUCUAUAAGCUUAGUCAAACUGAAGACGGUUUGACUUAGGACAAAACUAG